rnacentral:rRNA from 1 species
GCCAAAAGUAUAGCCCACCAAUAACAAAUGAACCUCCACACUUUAUCUUUUUAAUUAAAACAUUCUACAGGUUUAGUAAAGGCGAUUAAAAAACCUCCUUAAGAGCAUAAAAGUACCGCAAGGGAAAAUUGAAAUAAAAAUGAAAUAAAUAUUAAGCACAAAAUAGUAGAGACUGAUUCUCGUACCUUUUGCAUCAUGGUUUAACAAGUCUAAUCAAGCAUAAUGACUUAUAGUUUGAUUUCCCGAAACUAAGUGAGCUACUUCAGGGCAGCUUAUUGAGCAAACCCGUCUCUGUUGCAAAAGAGUGGCAAGACCCUUAAGUAGAAGUGAUAAGCCUAACGAACUUAGUGAUAGCUGGUUACUCAAGAAAAAGAUUUUAGUCCCACCUAAAGAUUUAAUAAUUUAACAAAAUAAAAUUUAAACUUUAGAGUAAUUCAAAUAGGGUACAGCCUAUUUGAAACAGGAUACAACCUAAACUAAUGGGUAAUACUAUAUUCACGUAAUCAAGUGGGCCCAAAAGCAGCCAACUUUAAGAUAGCCUCAAAGCCCCAUUACCCCCCCCACCAAUUUCAUAAAGUUAGUCGAACCCUUUAAUUCUAUUGAGUAAUUCUAUAUUGUUAUAGAAUUUAUAAUGUUAAAACUAGUAACAAGAAGAAGACCUUCUCUUAAAUGCAAGUAUAAAUCAGCAAGGACCCUCCACUGAUAAUUAACACACAUGAAACUAUAUUAACAACCCUUCAAGAAAACCCUAAUAAAUUUUAUGUUAACCUAACACAAGAGCAUUAAAAGAAAGAUUAAAAAAAAAAGAAGGAACUCGGCAAACAAUGACCCCGCCUGUUUACCAAAAACAUCGCCUCUUGAAUAAU